GAGCACCCACUUCAACACAGUGUGGCAGAUCUGUGAGAGAGAGAGCAAGGCCAUGAAGGAGCACCCAGGAGAAGCAUCUAGAUUGGAUUAGGAAGCUUGAGAAAGAUUUCUUGGAAGAGGUGAUGCUCGAACUGAAUUUAGAAGGAUGAGUAAGUCUUGGGUGACGUGGGGGUGGAGAGAGUGUUUUCCUGGAAGAAGGAACAAGAUGUGCAAGGACUUGGAAGCCUGAAGCAGCCUGUUGUAUUUUAAGGAACAUCAAGUAGCUUCCGGUGACUAUUUCAAAGGUGUGUGGUGGGGGGAGGGGGGAAUAGGGAGGUGCACAUGGAGGUGCGGGGAUCAGGGAAAUAGGGGCGAAUGCAGUCAAUAUAUCUGAACUGGAUCUUGAGAGCGAUAUGGCACGGGAAAGAAAGCAGGAUGACCAGAUGGCCAGAACUGCAUUUUAAAGAGGGCACAAUUGACAGGAAAGAGGCCUGGGAACAGGAAGCUUAGUGUGAGCAAUCGCAGUUGGGCAUGAACUAAGGCAGGAGCCUGGCCCUGGGGAUGGAGCGAGGGAGCUGAGCAGUCAGCAGAAGCUAAAAGCACAGAGCCCCGUGGCUGAGUCUGAGUCGCAGGAGUGACGAGCAGAAUGCCCCUCAGAAGCUGAAAAACGCAUGUGACUGGGGCUUGUUCACUUGCCGUUUCCACUUAACCUUUCCUUCCCCACUGGAAGUGUAUGUAUCUCCACUGGUCCAGCUACGUUCAGGCUCUGGGAGGGGGACCCAGCAUCAUUUCCAGCUCCAUUCAGAGGAUGGAUGCCACCAUCAGUCAUGCUCAGAUCAUGAUUUCUCUCAGCAAUGCUCAUUGAAAAGCUCAUUGAAAGCAGAUUUUCGCAGAGUGGAGGUCUUCGAUCUCUCAAAUCUUUUCCCAGGCCUGGUGUGCCUCACCUCACUUCCUGCAUGGAACAGCCACUCUAGAGCAACCUUCUCCAGCUUUGGUUCCCCCUCCCAGCACACACGCCAUCCUCCUUCGGAAGUGACAGAUGACAUUUUGGUCUUGGGAUUUCCUCUUAGAAGCGAGCCUGUCACUUCUCCAGUCUGUGAUGAACGCACUCUGAAGAGCUUAAGGGCUGUUUGACUGCGGCUGAGGCAUCUAUUUUAGGUUGAGAAUUACUGACAUCCAGGAGCAUUUUUUUUAAUAGAAAGAAGAGUCUUAGAAAGAGGUGCCCUGCUAUCUUUAACAAAGCCACAUUUCUCUGCUACCUAGUGAUCACGAGUGGCAUGACACACUUUGAGAGCCAUAAAAUGUGGUGAUUACAAAAGUGGCCACAAUUUCUUCCCCAGAUGCAUGCCCUACCCUAGCAAUUGACUCUGUAGUUCUUCCAAUCAAGAGGGGAAGACUUUCUUUUCCUCUGGGAACUAAGAAAGUAAGAGUUUUCAAGGAAGAAAAGGGAUGAUUUGGGAGACGGUGUAUGACUCACUUGGUAUGGUACUUCAGGAGGCAUGUCUGGGUGCAUGGUCUGGCUGGGGAACAGAAUGCACUAGAUCAACCUCAGAGAUAAGGAGUGUUCAGAAGUUUUGGGGGGAAAUCAAGUAAAUGUUUUGUGAUUCUGCAAGAGAAAUCCUCAGACCACAUAGUGUCCAGAAAGGGUCAAGAGGAGGAUAACUUCAUUUAUUCUUUCAUUCAGAAAACAUUUAGCCAGAUUUUAAUUUGUAUCUCUCAGGCACAAGGAGUCAAGAAAGGUUAAUAGAUCACUUAUUUGAGUAUAACGUGGCGAUCCUAGAUGAGAUUAGCUCAAUCAACCGGAGCCCAUGUCAGAAACACCACCUAGACUUAGCAGAAUCAUGCUGUCAUGUAUAACUAAUUAGAACAAAUAAAAAAUUUUUAAAAAUGGCUAUAGUUUUUGUGAACUUUUCUAAGUUUGGAGGUGUUUGGUUGUGCAGUAAAACCUAACUGAAGCAUGAUCUGAAUCUAUAGAUAACUCUUUUGGUUCUUAUUUUCCUGGAAACUUCCUUAGGUCUUCUCUGAAAAUGAGUGAUGCCAAAUUUUAAGGUUAAAAUAUUGUAGGCAAUAGAGCAGAGGAAGGCAAUUUUAUGAACGUAGAGAGAAGUGCUUAGAUCAUCACUGUUGGGAACAUAGAGUACCAGGAUUAGGUAAUUUUGUAAGGGUAUACAAGGAAGGCUAGACCCUAAUAACCUUUAGAAUUUAGAAGCUUAUAAAUGUAAUUAAAGAUAUUUCUUUAAUUUUUUUAUUGCCGUAAGUAAUUUAAAAUAGUGAUUUUUCUAUUUCCUUUUUAUUAAAAAGUUUUAGCUCAUAAAAACCUUACACUAAACUUAUGUGUUAUAGAAAAAAAUUACCUUUCAGUUUCUUCUGGGUAAUCUGCAAAUUCUAUGCACUUUACCAAAAUGAACCACAUGGUCUCUGGGACAGUGUGAAAUUCUCCAGGGUUCUCUUUGAUAAUGAUAAUGUAGAAUAUAAAAAUAAAAUACCAAUGAACUUUUUAUUGUAAGUUUUCUAUGAACCAGGCACUCUGCUAAGGGUUCAGUGUUUUUUUAUCCCAUUCGAUUAUUCCCUCAGCUCGAAUGAGGUAGAACCUGCCCUCAUCAGUGGCCUCUCUCCAUUCAAGAUAGGAGGAGGCAGCGUGGCAGGUAUUGUCCUCUAGAGGCCGCCCUCCUCACUAUCACUUCUACUGCUGUCCUUGACCCAGAGGAGCCCCUUCCCUACUUUGUUCUCCACGACCCCUCUAAACAGCCAAUGACUUCUCAGCAAGUCAGUUUCCGCAUCUAUAACGUGGAGCGAACGACACAGAUUUGCAGACACUGAGAGCUGAGAAAUGCCAUGCCAUGUGGAAGCUCUCUGAGAAAGUCCAACAGUACUUUGCACACAGUAUUGUCAGGGCUGUCAAGGCUGCAGAUAGAGCCCAGUACCCAGCAGUUCUCCGCAUUCCUCAUUUUCUUACUAAACUUGAAGGAUUGUCUGUCUGUACGAUGCUUGAGUUGAACAGGUUCAGGUUCUGGUCUGCUGGACCUAGCCCCAGCUACCUUCCCUCCUAGCAGAAUGUACACCCCUUGUCUAGAAGUUCAAGGACACUCAGUGUCUGUCAUGGGCCUUGGAGAGAUGCAGAAACUGAGAGCAACGAGGGUGCUCAAUGGGGCUUAGUGGAAGCAAUGUGUCUGUGUCUGCGCAAACUAUGCUCAGUGUUCACUGAGUGGGAAGAUUCAGGAAGCUCACACAGGUCAUCAGUGCAUACAACAGUCAUCCCAUUUGUGCUUCCUGAGGAAUACAAACCUGCUUCAGGCACCCAGUAGGGGGGACGGUGAGUGUUUAGAGGAAAUAGAAUGUCUUUUGGUUUGGGACUAGGGGCUGUCUCUUGUGUGGUCCCAAGUAGUCACAACCAUACUGACAUAUGAUGUGUAAACACAUACAGAUGCAGGUACAUGCACACACAUACACAGAGCCAUGCACACAGGCCAUGAGCAUCUCACAGAAGAUGUGCUUGAGCAGUAUUCCUCUAUUUUUAAUAUUUAACAAAUAUAAAAGGAAAGAAAAAUCAAUAUAUAAUACCAGAUAAAAUGAAUUCUAAACUCCUUAACAAGGAAGAAGGGAAAAUGUAUUAAAUGUAGACAUCAGGCCCAAGGCCCAUGAUGAGAGGUGUCCCUCCGGUCUCAUAAAUCCUACGUAACAAGACAGGGAUUACCAGUCACAGAGCAUUUUGUUCUUACAUGGAGGCAUUUCCAUAAAUACGGUGUAUAGAGAACACAAUGAUGAGUGCUAGCUCAGGUCAUCGGGGAAGAGACAAAUGUUCAUAAAAGAGCUUUUGCUGUCAAUGAGAGGUUUUAAAACUUGUCUCAAAAGGAUGUUACAAAACUGCUAUGAAGAAAUAAAUACACACCCUUAUACACGUGUACAUAUAUAAAUAUAUAUGAAUAAUUAUUUUCCUUCAGUAUUUGCCCGUCGGCAGGAGUGCAGACUGCUGAGCAAGGAGGGACACGGCCCUUAGUUCACAGAGGCGUUAACUGCUCUUGUUUCCUUAUGUUUCCUAAAUGAUGUCACGCGGGUGCUUUUAACUAGGCCACAUCCAGGCUCUGCUGAUGUAUAAUCAGCUUGCUGGAUGUUUUAAUCCACAUCACCAAAGCCACCUUCUGGUUCGUGGUUGUCCUCCUAACUGAGAGCCUUCCAUCAGCACUCAUCCCAUGCCCAAGAGGGGACACAUCCUCUGCUCUCUGAGUGUUCUUGACCCCUUGGGGACUCAGACAACUCCUGCCAUUCCAAUCCACUCUGGCCCUGUGGGAUGCUUUAGAACCUUGAUGAGCUCCUAGUUCUCUCUCAGCUAGAAGUGCUUCAGGUUGUCUGCUGAGCCUCAGGGGCAAAGGCAAAAUCUCCUAUAUCAGGCAAAGAACUGCUUUCUUAAGGAAAUUUUUCUGGUGGGAAGAAACAUCCUACUUCUCUGCUUUUAAAACAAAACUUGAGCGAAAACAAAGGCUAGUUCAGCCUGCCUGCCUGGCCUUCCCACUGUUUUUUCUAAUCCAUCCUUUGAUCUUGAGUCUUGUGAUAAGAACAGGCAGCUGGCUAUGACUUGGCUUGAGCUGACUUCCCGUAAUCCCUAGGAGUCCCUUGAAAUCCACAGGAGUAGGGGUUAAAACCAAACUCGGGAUGCAAGGUUUGGCAGCAAACUCAAAUCCCUCUUUGUGCAAAUCAACACUUGUCCCUCCAAACCCUUGUUAAAUUCUACCAUCAAACACACACAUAAAAACCCCACACAGAACAUGGGGUACCUAGGCAACCCAGGUCCCAAGAGGAGCUCCAGACAGCUGGGUUUACACACAUUCACUCAUCAAUCCAAUGGAAAUUCAUCCAGGCACUAGGCUGGGUGCUUUGAAACUUCAAAGAUAAAAUGAUACGUCUCUGCCCUCCGUGAGCCUUAAACCCUGACUUGGAACUAGAUUACACCUGAAGUUUCUAUGAUAAUGUUUUUAGAGACUCAUUAACAGGAGAGAAAAACAGGGACCACUUAUGUAAAGGAAGACAGAUAAAAUUGAAGGAUUGGAAAAUGGGGACUAUUAGGGAAAGCCAGAGGAAGCACUAUUAUUUAGCACAGAAGGAAAAAGCCAAUGUGAUGACUUAAUAAGAGUAUUUAAGUGUAUGGAGGAUGGACUCCAUUAUGGUUCUAUCAUCCAUGAAUUUAUCUAAGACCCUUUUGAACCAAAUUAUCUUUUUUUUAGUCUGUGCUGGCUCCUGGAAUAAUGAGUUCCUUAUGUGGACUCCCUGCCGUGUAAAAUAACACUUCUUUUUGCCUGUUCUGAAAAGAUUUCCUUUAAGUUUAUAGGAACUCCUACUAAUUCCGAGUUUCCAGAAUUUAGUGAGGAAGUGCCUGUGUUACACGUCCUACCUGUUCUUGCACGAUUUUGCAAGCUACAUUUUUACCAUCCCCCCAACCUCUGUGCUUCUCACUUUCCCUCAGAGUGGACUGUCACAUGUCAUUAUCAGAUCACUGCACACUUCUCUGAGCCAGCCCUCUCUCCUGUGUGUCUUUGUAGGGAUGUACUAAACACAACCAAUUAAUCAAUCAAUACACUGUCUUUCAAUGAUUCUGAACACAUUUCCUCCCUAUGUUUUAACACCUCCAAAGUCAAGAUGCAUCUUAUGAUCAAUGUUAAGAAAGAAAUGUGUCAAAAUUUAAUUGGCACUUUUUUUUUAGGGGCGGGGAAAGAUAAUGGUGUGUCUUUACUUUCACUUUUCACUUCAUAAGCGACAGCAUGCGUAUGUCGUUGGUCUUUGUGGAGCAGUUGGUGCUGAGAUGCCUCUUGGAUAACCCAGGAUUUAGGUAAUAUGCAUGUUUGUUAAAUGCUUGUCCAGAUGUUUUUAUCUACUGACAUCUUUGUUGACCAGAGGGCAAGUCAGUCUCUCUGAUAUUUAGGACUCUUGGUAUUAUUAAGCAUUUAUCCAUCGGUAUUUAAAUGAUAUCAUCCAAUAAAGCUGGUGAGGAAGCCUCUGUGAUUCGGCUUCAUUUCUUAACCUGGUUCUCCAGGCAAAGCCCUCGGGACUUUUCUCCACCACUGAAUCUGUCUGAAACUGAGUGAAAGAAUCUCUACCCAUCACCCCCACAGCCAGUGUGAGGUUGAAGCCAAGACAACGUGGGGAUGGAACUCUGAGCUCCUUGGGAAAAAAAAUCGUAGAAAUCAGCACGAUGCCAUUAUGAUUAUCGUGUUGACCAUGUCCCUUGAAAUCUAAGCCAUUCCGGGGAAUGGAUUUCCAUCUUAAGUGCGGCUCUGUAAUCGGAGCUUAAUUGGAGGCAGAGUCUGUUCAGCAAGCUUCUCGGCAUGACUCUCUUUCUAUGGCAGAUUGUAUUUUACUUUGCAUAAUGAGGCAAUCUUUCUAUUUACUGAUUAUUUCCUUAUGUAACUUGAACACUGAAAGGAAGUCACCACCGAGACCUCAGACUGACUAAUAAACAUAUUCCCGACUCCUAAUGUGCAGAACACUUAAGAUGCUUCUGUAGCUCCCAGACUGAAAUUCACGCUCAGUGCAUGUCAGAGGUCGCAUUUCACUGGACGGUUAAGUUUACAGUCAGGGCAUUUUAUUAGCCAAAAGGAAAAGAACAACAUAACAUCUUCAUGGCAGGUAUCCUGAGGGUGUGAGAUGGGAUGUGGACUUCCUAGCAUUGUCCUAAUAGUAGCACGACUAACAUUUACAUGGUGCUUUAUGGUUUUCUAUGUAUUUGCUGCUCAUCAGCAGCGCAACAGAAAUAAGUACAACAGGUACUAACUCACCUUCUAUAAGAGAAAAAUCAGUGACUGCAGUAGGUGACUUGCCCCAAAUCAAAAUUCAAGAAUUAGGGGCAGAGCUAAGAAUUGAACCAUGUGUUUUAUUUAUUUAUUUAUUUAUGUUGAUACACAGCCCGAUUUAUUUUACAGAAGUAUCUGUUACACCAUUGCCUCUACCAACGUGUCUCUUGCAUCAAGUGAUACCCCCCCCCAUGUAUAAUAUAAUAUUUAAGUUUUCUUUUUGGGAGGGGGAGGCUAAUGCUUUUAUUUAUGUAUGUAUUUAUGUGUUUAUUUAUUUCUACUGUGAACACAGGUGUUUUGAGAUACAUCCCCAGGUGUCACUCUGCCUUCCUCGGAGGCUCCUAGGCCUUGUCCCAGGCCUCGUGACAGCCUGAACCAGCAUCCAGCAGGCCUUGAUGAUUUGGACGAGGGGCUCAGCAACCUUGUGCCAGUUUCUUUAGAUCAUUUCCUCAACCGUCCAAGCUACCCUGGAAGCAGAGGGGUGGUGUACUUUGGCAACUAUGUUGGGGAGCUUGACUUUCCAGAAAUGUUGUCUUUCCUACAAGACUCGUAUAACAUCUCCUUGCAAGCUGUCUGCUUGGAACUUACCCUGAUAUAUACCUUUUGUUUAUUUAUGUCUGUGUACUGUUAUAUCCUACCCUAUGGAAUAUAAGGCAUGUAUGGCAUUUAAUUGCAUACUCAGGACUUAGCAUGGAUCCUGACACAUAGUAGGCACCCAACCAAUAUUGAUUAAGUGAAUGAAUGAAUAAAUUAAAGUUGCUCUGAAUGACCAACUAGUUCCAUCAACAGAAAAGUUAACAGUGUGGACGUUUAUAAGUAAGCCGUUUAGCUAUGGAUUUUAUUUCCUUGAAUAAACCUGUGUUUGAG
rnacentral:lncRNA from 1 species